GAUGAACGCUAGCGGCAGGCCUAACACAUGCAAGUCGAGGGGCAGCACGUCUUCGGAUGGUGGCGACCGGCGCACGGGUGCGUAACGCGUAUGCAACCUACCUCUUACAGUGGGAUAGCCCAGAGAAAUUUGGAUUAAUACCGCAUAGUAUGCGACAUCAGCAUUGAUGACGUAUUAAACAUUCAUGGGUAAGAGAUGGGCAUGCGUUCUAUUAGUAGUUGGAGUGGUAACGGCACCCCAAGGACAGCGAUAGAUAGGGGCCCCUGAGAGGGGGAUCCCCCACACUGGUACUGAGACACGGACCA
rnacentral:rRNA from 1 species